rnacentral:rRNA from 1 species
UACAGAGGGUGCAAGCGUUAAUCGGAAUGACUGGGCGUAAAGGGUGUGUAGGUGGCGAGCUAAGUUAAAUGUGAAAGCCCCGGGCUUAACCUGGGAACGGCAUGUAAUACUGGCUUGCUAGAGUGGUGGAGAGGUAAGUGGAAUUUCCGGUGUAGCGGUGAAAUGCGUAGAGAUCGGAAGGAACAUCGGUGGCGAAGGCGACUUACUGGCCACACACUGACACUGAAACACGAAGGCGUGGGGAGCAAACAGG